GCGAGAGCCAGCUGAUCACAAAUGCCAACUGUGUGUCUUGGGGCCAGUUAAGUCCUCUCGUCUGCCCAAGCUCUCAGGACACCAUUUCAUUGCUCUCAGGGUUCCCAGGAGACUGCUGCGGACACGGACCAUCCCCCACUUGGCCCGCAUGGAUGGGGUGCUGAGCAGCGUCUUCAAAGUGCUCUUUCUCACCUCGAGUUUCCAUUUUAAAUAGUAAAAUGCUGGAACUAGGAGACAGGCAGAUAUUUUUCUCUCAUAUCAAAAAAGGAAGACCGUUAGCUAGGUGAUUAGCUGUAAGUGGGAAGCGAACUAUCAUCUCCAAUAGGAAUACUCACUUUUUGAGGAAGUAUGUGGAAGUUCUGCAGUCCCACCUUGCCCUAUGACCUUUAAUUCUCUUAGUUCUUCUGCCACAGGGAAGCACCGAGCGACUAAUAAAAGAUUUGAUCUUGCCAUAAUUUCCCAAGCAGGGAUCAACAAAUUGAUAAAGCAAACUCAGAGGCCACAUCUUAUUAGACAGCAAGCUGCCUUCUUUAUUAUGGGAGGAUUGAAUCCAGGGGCACUUCACCACUGAGCCACAUCCCCAGUCCUUUUAAAAAUAUUUUAUGUAGACCCAGGAUCUUGCUGAGAUGCUUGGGGCCUCACUAAAUUGCUGAAGCUGGCUUUGAAUUCAUGAUCAUCCUGAUUCAGCCUCCUGAGCCACUGGGAUUACAGAUAUUUCAAUGAUAUGUGGAUUUUCUAGAGAGGAGUUUAUUUUGUAUUGAAAGAUGGAAUAAGAGGAAUCAACACAGAAAGUUGAAUGGACAACUAAAGAUUGCCUCUGGAAAUUAGAAUUGAGAAGAAUACCCAGGAGAAGAUUCCUCUCCCCAUACACACCUGUGAUUUUCAAGUCCUUUUAUUCAUGCCUUUAAAUGAAAGGGUUGAGUAUACAAGAAUAUCAAUAAGUUCCAAUUGAAGAGCGGAUUCUUUUGCAAUUCAGGCAUGUGCCGGCGAUAACGGGCGAGUUGGCAUGAAGAGAGGCAGAGAUGGAUUAAUUAUGCAGAGAACAUGGAAAUUCUGCUUAUCAUCGGCUAGCAAAGGAGCCCGGCUCACAUAAUCAGCAAACGAAGGGAGAGGAAAAAAUAACAAUGCAAUGGCACCUUCCAGCCCAUCAUCAGGAUUUUUUCUACCCCCCUUGUAAUUAAAAAAUAACAUACACUUAUAGCCCUAUCUCCUGUGCAGGCAAGGAGUGGAUGUCCACAAAAUAAUUGCACUGGGAUAUUAGAGCUGGCAACACGGGCUGUCCAUUCCUGCUUGCUCUCUUGCUCACCCUCUCUUUCUCUUUUGGCCUCUCAAGGCACUUUGCUUCUGAAUACAGUCCAAAUCAGUCGAUGUCUCAGGUGACAUUCUAGCUCGGUUUCCAAAAAUCCCAAAUUGGUACCUUAUCAUGAUCCAAGCAAACAUACAUACAUAUAUGAUAAAUAUUUGAAGGGCUGACUCUGGGGGAGACUUUGGAACUGAUCACCUGUGGACUAUCUGGUCAAUUUCAUUUUUGAUGAAACAUGUCCAAACAGCCUUCAUUUUGCAAAGUGACUGGAUUAAAAUGGUGGGCCAUGCUAUCUUCUCAAUUGAUUUCUCCUCUUUACAACUUUUUGCACCUAUUUCCUUUGCCAACUCAUUUUAUAAAUUCAAGGGUAUACAAUUAAUUAUUGAGAUGUUUUGCCUUCAAAUCAGAAUUCGGAAUUCUAUAUUGUCACUAUAAAAUCCGAUAGCUCAGUGCUUUGUAUUUCUCUAGAAGCCCAAAGACACUAUACUAAACCUAGUUCAUUGCUUAAAAGAAACUAAAAUUAAAUCUUAACGUUUGUAUCCAUGUGUCUCCCAAUUCUAAGAAUUAGAAUGCAAACACGUAUGUUAAAUAAUGAUACUCCUGAUUGAAUGCCAUUGAAGUAGUUUUUUUUUUCUGUUUUAAUUGCCAACCAAGUAAUUUGACCUAAUUACAGACAUAAACCCCCAGAAACUCUGGCCGUGAAGAGAGACCAUUUCUUCCGGCAAAGUUACUGGUGAGCUACAGAAACAGAAAGAUGAAAAUAAAUCUGGAAAGACAAAAAUUAUGCAACAUAUGAAGGAAAGAUGUUGUUCCAAAGUGCAGUAAACUGGAAUUAGAAAGCUGGCAGACUCUAGAAAUGUAAUUUAUUCAUAGAGUUCCACCAAAGCAGGGAACCAGUGUGGGGCGCAGUUUACACGCUUGUGGGAAUGUUUUCAAUGACAGUGACAGUAAUAGACUGAUUUUUAAAACUAAUUAUUUACAUGACUAUGCAUAUGGACACACACAUAUUCUAGCACAUAUGAAUACUAUAGAAAACCAAAACUGAGUAAAUAAAUCAGUAAUUGGAGAUAUUUGUGAUUAGUGACUUUGUUCGUUUCUGAGAAUGGAGAGAAAAUAAAUAAGAAAAACACACUAAAGUGGUGGUAGGGAUUAAGGGUGAAGAAAAGUAGAAAAAUCCCAAUAAAGAGAGAAAAAGAGAAUAAAGAAUAUAGAGAAAAGAGAAUUAGAAUUAUGACAGUAGAAAUUAUAAUUUUUUGUUUAUUUUGUAAAUGCAUGCAUAAAAUAUAUUCUAUUAGAAUUAAAUAUACAAACGACGGAUAUAGAGAAAUCAUUCAAGUGUGUCUCCUUACACCAAGAAAUGUUUAAAUUCAGAAAGGCACUGCAGAUUCUGUAGAGUAGGGUAUAAUUCACAACUGACCUUGGAGCCUAGCCCAACAACUAGGGGAAUACAACUGGGAUGAUCUGACCAUUCAUUACCAUUGAAUUCCUACCACCUCCAACACAUUUUGUAUCUCUUUGAUUCAGUUUCCUCUCUGUAUUUUUUAAAGCCAUAGCUAAAAGCUAUUUAACAAAUAAUUUAUUCUUGAAAUUUGAGAAAAAUUGCAAGUCUAUAUAAAAAGCAAAGAAAAUAGUAAAAUAAACUCCCAUAUACCCAUUUCUCAGCUUCAUAAUUAUCAACUGAUGAAUAGUCAUCCUUUAGCUCUAUUCCACAAUCUCACCUUCUUUCUCAUCACAAGAUUUUUAAACAAUUUAUUUAGUUUUAAUUGACAGAUAAUAGGAGUGUAUAUUUAUGCUUUUGAAGUGUAUUCCUAGUAUAAUAAACCCUGCCCAUUUGAAAUUCUUAUUUGCAAGAUGUUUAAUAACCAAGAAGAAGCAAUGAGUCACUCUUGAUAGGACCAAUUAACACACCAAAUAUGAAGUUGUUUUUUUUUUUAUUAUAGAAGAGGAGAUCAAGUCAAAGCUAGCUAAAUUUGGCAUAAAGGAUUAUAUGAAGCUAUAUAUUCUUUGCAAAAUAUAUUUCUUUAAUUUGGGAUCCUGAGGAAUUAAUAGUCUUCUAGGAUUGAAAAUGUAAAAAGCUAUUUCAAGUCAAAACAGAUACUAGAAAAUGGUUUCCCAAAGACUUACAAGACACGCAAAGAAUCAUCUCACUUAGUAUCCAGAGCAGUGUUUCUGCAGAUGCUGCUCUGAAUGGAUGGUCCAUUGUUUUUCCACCUCUGGGGAACUUUUUAAAAAACACUUGUGCCUGAACCAUACCCUAGACAAAAACUCUAAGAAUUAGAGUUGCACAAAAAUAGAGAAACAGUUGUUAUAGACAGACAAGGAUGGAGGUAGAGAUAGCAGUGGAGAGAGAUCUUUAACUUCCUACAUGAUUCUAAAAUGCAACCAGUCAAGAACCAAUGUGCCUAGGCUCAUCCACUGCCCUCCAAUGAAUUUAACUGAAAUGCAUUGAAAACCCAAAACAUCCUCAAGAUUAGAGCAGUUUUCAGUGCAAACCAAACUGUAAGGGCCAUGGGGCAAAAGUCAUGCUGCUUGUUGUCUUCUAGGUGUACCCAGCACCUAGCACAGAGCCUAUUGGCUCUCAGAAAUAAAUAAAUAAAUAAAUAUUUAUUUAUUUAUUUACUGAGAGAAUAAAGUGAACAGAAGCCAGAAAGAGAGUUUUAUGACCAUCUGUAAUCACAGCAACCUCCUCUGCCCUACAUUAUAUCCCCUAAGUCUUGACAAUUUGGAAGCUUUCUUAAGGUUUUUCCAAAAGCCUGUGCUCAGAACUUUACAGACAUAGCAUACUUCUAUAAUCUUUUAUACUUCCUGAAAACAUGUCUUAACAUCUUUUACAAGAGAAGGUAGAUAAUAGAAUUCUCAGUAACCGUAACUGUAAAUGGAUUUGUAAUCUACCCGUGAUUAAAAUUAUUUUCAUCAUGAAGUAGAAUUCUCAUUAUUGUUGCAAUUUUAAUAUUAUCAACUCCAAAGUGUCUUAGUGAUUGAUAAUAUAGACAGCGAAACCCUAUAUUAUAGUAAUUAAAUUUGAAAUGAAUCAGCCAUCCUUAUAUGUCUCAGUAUAGUACCUGAUUAUUUGAAAACAAUUAUCUUUGCAUGUCACCUAAUGCCAGACAACACUUGGACCUGCUCCCAGGGAUUGUUCUGGGUCACAAAGUUGCCGCAGAGUUGGAAUGCACAGAUAGUGUGUCUAGGUGCCACGAUGAAUAUUUUCUCAGUUAAAUUACACAACCACCACGAAUGUGAGCUACAAUUCAGGAGGAGCACAAUCGUGAA